rnacentral:misc_RNA from 1 species
GGGACAGUAAAGCUAAUUUUCCAACCUGGGGAAGAGGGACGUGGUGGGGCUUACUAUAUGGUAAAAGAAGGAGCUGUGGAGAAGGUGGAAGGCAUAUUCGGAUUACAUGUCGCACAAGAUAUGUCAGUAGGGGCAAUUGGUUCAAGGCCUGGUCCAUUUACGGCUUGUAGUGGUAGGUUUUUGGCUACAAUCCAAGGAAUUGGUGCUCAUGGAGCAGCGCAUCCAGUUCUUGCUAUGUCAUCGGCUAUCAUCUCUCUUCAACACAUAAUUUCUCGAGAAACUGAUCCUCUUGAUUCCAAGGUGAUCAGUGUAGGGUUGGUGAAGGGAGGGCAAGCAGUAAAUGUGAUCCCCGAAACCGUAACAUUUGGAGGUACUUUCCGAAGCGUCACUUUGGAAGGUCUUUACAAACUUAAGCAAAGAAUUCAAGAGGUAAUAGAGUUUCAAGUAGCUGUUCAUGAGUGUAAUGCGACUGUUGACUUCAUGGAAGAAAAGGCAAGGUUCUACCCACCUACUAUCAAUGACCAAGCAUUAUACAACCAUGUAAACAAGGUUGGACAACAUUUGCUUGGAGCCUCAUCAAAUGUGCUUUAUCUUCCUAACUCCAUGGGAGCAGAGGACUUCAGCUUCUACUCGCAACACAUUCCUGC